rnacentral:rRNA from 1 species
GAUGAACGCUGGCGGCGUGCCUAAUACAUGCAAGUCGAGCGAACAGACGAGGAGCUUGCUUCUCUGACGUUAGCGGCGGACGGGUGAGUAACACGUGGAUAACCUACCUAUAAGACUGGGAUAACUUCGGGAAACCGGAGCUAAUACCGGAUAAUAUAUUGAACCGCAUGGUUCAAAAGUGAAAGACGGUUUUGCUGUCACUUAUAGAUGGAUCCGCGCUGCAUUAGCUAGUUGGUAAGGUAACGGCUUACCAAGGCAACGAUGCAUAGCCGACCUGAGAGGGUGAUCGGCCACACUGGAACUGAGACACGGUCCAGACUCCUACGGGAGGCAGCAGUAGGGAAUCUUCCGCAAUGGGCGAAAGCCUGACGGAGCAACGCCGCGUGAGUGAUGAAGGUCUUCGGAUCGUAAAACUCUGUUAUUAGGGAAGAACAAAUGUGUAAGUAACUGUGCACAUCUUGACGGUACCUAAUCAGAAAGCCACGGCUAACUACGUG